GUAGGUGGCAAGCGUUGUCCGGAAUUAUUGGGCGUAAAGCGCGCGCAGGCGGUUCUUUAAGUCUGAUGUGAAAGCCCACGGCUCAACCGUGGAGGGUCAUUGGAAACUGGAGAACUUGAGUACAGAAGAGGAAAGCGGAAUUCCACGUGUAGCGGUGAAAUGCGUAGAGAUGUGGAGGAACACCAGUGGCGAAGGCGGCUUUCUGGUCUGUAACUGACGCUGAGGCGCGAAAGCGUGGGGAGCAAACAGGAUUAGAUACCCUGGUAGUCCGCGCCGUAAACGAUGAGUGCUAAGUGUUAGGGGGUUUUCCGCCCCCCUUAGUGCUGCAGCUAACGCAUUAAGCACUCCGCCUGGGAGUACGGCCGCAAGGCUG
rnacentral:rRNA from 1 species